CUCAGAGCCGUUCCCAAGACGCCCCGCGGCCGCGGAGCGGAAAAUGUCUUCACGCCGCUUGUGGGGCUGGCUGGGUGGGUCGCUAGAGUCUGCCGGGCCUCAGGCUUUCCAGGCGCCGGCAACCACAAAAAGAACUCAGAAAUCUGUGACCUUGAGGUCUCAGAGCCUUAGACGGCAUUGCUUCCAGUUGGGAAAAUGUAGGAAACCCAAAUGCCCAGCCCUGCGGCCCCGCUGGAGAAGUCGUCUGCGGAAGAUCACAAGGCUGUGCGGUCUGCGGAGGAAGACGCUCUGAGCAGGCGCUCCUGACCCUGGUGUCACACACUAGGAUGUAAGGUCUUGAGGGCGGUGCCUUUCCCUAAUCCAUCCUGUCUUCAUUCUGAGCAUCUAGAACAGCAUGGAUCCCAGGAAUGGCUUACGGCUGGAGGCAAAGACCCCGUGGGAACAAAGGCGCCCGCCUGCACUCCCGCCCUCCCGGCAGCUGGAGAACCGUCCACCCUGAACAGGAGGCAGAGCUGGUUUCUCACUAAGGCAUCUUUGUAGAGCUUAU